UACAGAGGUGGCAAGCGUUGUUCGGAAUUACUGGGCGUAAAGGGCGCGUAGGCGGCUUUUUAAGUCAGGGGUGAAAUCCUGGAGCUCAACUCCAGAACUGCCUUUGAUACUGGGAAGCUUGAGUCCGGGAGAGGUGAGUGGAACUCCGAGUGUAGAGGUGAAAUUCGUAGAUAUUCGGAAGAACACCAGUGGCGAAGGCGGCUCACUGGCCCGGUACUGACGCUGAGGUGCGAAAGCGUGGGGAGCAAACAGG
rnacentral:rRNA from 1 species